GUGAGGAAUAUUGGACAAUGGGCGCAAGCCUGAUCCAGCCAUGCCGCGUGCAGGAUGACGGUCCUAUGGAUUGUAAACUGCUUUUGCACAGGAAGAAACAACAUUACGUGUAAUGUCUUGACGGUACUGUGAGAAUAAGGAUCGGCUAACUCCGUGCCAGCAGCCGCGGUAAUACGGAGGAUCCAAGCGUUAUCCGGAAUCAUUGGGUUUAAAGGGUCCGUAGGCGGUUUAGUAAGUCAGUGGUGAAAGCCCAUCGCUCAACGGUGGAACGGCCAUUGAUACUGCUAAACUUGAAUUAUUAGGAAGUAACUAGAAUAUGUAGUGUAGCGGUGAAAUGCUUAGAGAUUACAUGGAAUACCAAUUGCGAAGGCAGGUUACUACUAAUUGAUUGACGCUGAUGGACGAAAGCGUGGGUAGCGAACAGGAUUAGAUACCCCAGUAGUCC
rnacentral:rRNA from 1 species